UACGUAGGGUGCAAGCGUUGCCCGGAUUUAUUGGGCGUAAAGGGCGCGUAGGCGGCUCGGCACGUCCGUUGUGAAAUCGCUCGGCUCAACUGGGCGGGGUCAGCGGAUACGGUCGAACUUGAGCAAGCUAGGGGGCAAUGGAAUUCCCGGUGUAGUGGUGGAAUGCGUAGAUAUCGGGAGGAACACCAGUGGCGAAGGCGGUUGCCUGGAGCUUUGCUGACGCUGAGGCGCGAAAGCGUGGGGAGCGAUCCGG
rnacentral:rRNA from 1 species